rnacentral:lncRNA from 1 species
UGGGCCUCCAAGUACCCUGCUUGCGCCUGGAGGUCUCUCACCCCCAGGUCCUGCUCAAAGCUGUGCACUUGGGCCCCCAGGCAUGCGGCUUGCUCCGGAAGGUCCCUUACCUGUGGCACUGAGCAUGUACUUCCUGCAGUGCAGUUAGAAAUGCCCAUCCGACUCUGCUUGCAAAGGCACAGCUGCUUAAAGACUGUUACCGGAAAGGAAUCCUGAUCCAGACGCCAAGAGAGGGUUCUUGGACUCAUGCAAGAAAGACUUCAGGACAGAGAUCAUGGAAGUUGGGCCCGACUGGAUGAGAUUUGGGGGUCUUUGGAAGUGGAGAAUGUGUUUGCCCUGGGGAAGAGAGGUGAUGUCUAGGAGACCUCUUCACUCAGGGCAAGCUCUAUGACCUGCUUUGACUCCAGAAUGUGGUAGAAGUGGCAUCACAUAAAUUGCAGAGCCUAGGCUUCAAGAGACCUUGCAACUUGCCUCUCACUGACUUGAAGUGCUCCCAUCAGAGCAUCUUGUAAGGAGCAGGUGGAGCAUGUGGACAAGCCAUCCCCACCAGCCCCUGAGACAUGUGAGAGAGGCCAGAACAGGCCAUCCGGACCCCACUGUGCUGGUGGAUGAGACAGCAGAAGGAAUAUCAACCUACCAACAGAAUCCUGAGAAAUGCUCACUCUUACUUCAAGCUGCUGCAUUUUGAUGUUAUGAAACCAUAAAUAACUUAUGAAGUCAUCUUUGCUGACUUAAAGUUUUCCAUAACUUUAUU